rnacentral:rRNA from 1 species
AGAGACAGCAGCAGCCACGGGAAUACAGAGGGUGCGAGCGUUAAUCGGAUUUACUGGGCGUAAAGCGUGCGUAGGCGGCUUUUUAAGUCGGAUGUGAAAUCCCUGAGCUUAACUUAGGAAUUGCAUUCGAUACUGGGAAGCUAGAGUAUGGGAGAGGAUGGUAGAAUUCCAGGUGUAGCGGUGAAAUGCGUAGAGAUCUGGAGGAAUACCGAUGGCGAAGGCAGCCAUCUGGCCUAAUACUGACGCUGAGGUACGAAAGCAUGGGGAGCAAACAGGAUUAGAUACCCCAGUAGUCCCUGUCUCUUAUAC